AGCAUCAGGAAUAAGUCCUUCUCGCUCAGAAGAAAUAUGCGAUAUUUUAAUGUUAUGAUUCUUGCCCCAGCGGUCUCCUGUGAAGCUAAUUUUCUCAAUCAAUAUGCCAAGUAAAUGAAAGUGCAUGUUGCUAUUAUGGUUCACACUGUAUAGUAAAUAGUAAUGGGUAAGGGUGUCGUAACUUAUUUUAGUUACUGAAUUGUUGUGUCAGUUAUAUAUGUGCUAAAUCCAUAUGCUUAUAUAAUACCAAUGAUAUGCAAUUUCUUACUUAUUUACUGAUGAUAGCUUUCUCUGACUUGGAAGCAUUAAUUAGGAAACAAGAGUAACGGUGCAGUUUGAAGAGCAGUCAGAUCGAGGGAUAAGUGCAAGUAGCAGAAUUGAGCAAGUGCCCAAUAGUUGUACUUGAAUCAUUCCCUGCACAAGAAUGAGUUGGAUUGUGCUCAUUGGUUCACGUAUUUAAGUGAGUGGUAUAAAUGCUGCAAAUUUAAGCUUUCUUUCCAAACUAUGGAUAGGAUAUCUUUUGCACGCAUUCUGCGUAAAGAAACAUCAUAAUGUACUUUAUUUUUACAGCAACACGUGACUUAACAAUUUUACAUUGUAUUGAUUUCUUUUCCAGUCUAAGCUCUGUUUUGAUAUGGACUGAGAUUUUUAGUGGACACAUAUUCCAUCUCUUUUGUUAACCUUCUUAAAGGAUUCUACACAUACAUAUAUUCGAUUCAACCAAAAAAGUAUUGGGAUUAUGAUCCCUUACUGUUCGAUGGGCGUAAGCUGUUGAUUUACUGAUUUGUUUAGUUUACACAUGAAUACUUUUGAGGCUGUACAGAUGAAUUUAAUAUUUUCUGUCUGUUGAUUGAAAAUUAAGAGAGGAGAAUACAACAGCCUAUUUCAGGGAAUACACUUUAGUAAUGAUGAAAAAUGCAUCAUAAAAUCCUUAGGCCAGUGAGAAGAGAAAGGUUGGUCUUUUCCUUCUUUGCUUUGUAAUAUUUUCAUAAUCAAUUCUUGUGUUAUCAGCUUCUCAGAGUUGACAAGUUAGUCAUUGUGGGUUGUGGAAUUUAUAGUCAUUGUACAACCCUUUAUGCAGCUUGAAGAUUGAAAUCCAUACAUUUCUAUCAAAAAAAAAAAAUGAAAUGAACUUUUAUUUGAAAAUGAAAAACAGAUAAUAAAGCACCAUUUAAGCAGAACUUAGGUAAAGAAUGAACACAAUUUAUUAAAGAUUUCCUCUUUCCAGAUUCUUGGUUAUGAAAGCUGGGGACUUUAUUAAUUCCUUUUCAGCUCUAUUGAUGUCAAAAUGGGCCUGAUAUAGGUAUUUGUUUCUUUUGACAAUAGAUUUUAAAGUUGUAUAUACCGGAAGUGUAAAGAAUUUUUUGCAUUAUCGGGUCACUCAAAACGAUAUGCAAUCUUGAAAAUAAUUCUUCCAUCUAAUUUUCUUUUUUGUUCGUGUACUCUCUUUCUCUCUCCAGGUCGUUUUUGAUGCAUUCAAUAAAAAUUUGGCUAAGGAAUGUAGCAUGGAAAAUGAUAUAAGAUCAAUGCUAUUAUAUCAUGCCCUUUUAUAUGAUACUGCGUGAAUGGAAUUGCUUCUAGCUAUGGAGUUUGAAGCAAACAUUUUCUACUUUAUUCUUUCAUGUCUUCAUGCUUUCUUUCCAGUACUAAUUUGAAGAGAAGAAGCACCCAAGACCACGACAAAAAUAGGAAUGUGGAAAAGUCAAAGCUGCAUUACUGCUCUCAAUUGCUAGAUGAGAGGUUACUGAGGCUAUUGAUAUGUUACAUAUAUGUAUUGAAUUUUACGGGGCCAGCACUUUUAAGUAGUUAAUCUCUCACCUUAAAGUUGCGUGAAGCUAAAAUAUUCCUCCUUUGCUUAAUGAAGGCACAUACAUUCUUUUGUUGCCCCAAAAUGCGCUACUACUGUGUCUCUAUGCUCAAAUCUUGAUCCUAUUUUGGGGUUGCCUUUUUUAGGUUUUCGAUACUUUUUUACGGGUUCAGCUGAUUUUGUAAAGAUUCGUCUUCCAUGUAUUGGAAUAUUUUGCGGUUGGCGUGUUGUGAGUUCUCUAAGCAUUUGUAUUUGUAUUCUUACUCUUUCAUGUAUAUCAAAGUCGCUUUAUGUAAAACGUAAAGAUGCAUGGAUUACAGUGGGCUUAAGUUCAAUGGAUUUGUAAAUAACUGUGUGGGAAAUGAAUAAUGAAAUUUAUAGUGAUGUACAGUAGAACUGACAACAUGCACGACUUGAUUCUACUUGGCAGCAUUUGAACUGCCGUUAUUCUAAUGUCAUAUAAAUAAGGAGGAAAAAUCAUAUUUUCGUGAAUUGAUAUAAACUUAGCCCAGGUCACAGUUAAUUGGGUUCAUUUGUUUGCUUAUAUUUGAUGUAGUGUUACUUCAAGAAUCUCCUUUUAAUGUAAAUACCAAGCCACUUCAGCUAUGGGCAUACAGAGAAUGGGAGAUGAAAUUAUUUAACAGGGAAUUCUACAGGCUAUAAUUAAUUAUUCAAUUGCAGGGAAAUACAACAAUGACUAAAGAAUUAUGUUGUUGAAACUGCACUAAGAGUUGAGAACCUCGAAUUUUGAAGAUGGUUUCUAGGAAAGACAACUGCAGAUAGGACUUCGCAACAUAUGUAGAGACAUGACAUGGUGAAGCAUUGGAUCACACUCAACAAACCUUAUACAUAUUUAUAGUACAAGGUUAUGAUCUCGGCAGCCAGUCAUCACGGGGGCGAUGAUAUAUCCUUCUUCAUGCCUUUUAUAGAGAAGAAAACAGUAGCAGGUUCGAGCCUUACAUUGCUGCACACAAUGGCCUUGUGUAUGACUUUAUGUGCCUCAAACUCAAAUCUAUGCAGGACUAUUGCAAGACAGUAAUACUCUUUUGAUUUCAUUAGGAGGUUUCUACUAUUAUGUCAAUAUAGAAAUGCUUCACAAAAUGUGUAUGUAUAACUUGACUUUGCUGAACUCUCAUAGUCAAGGUACAUAUGUAUUCGUACAUCAUCAUUCAUGCUCAUUCAAAUUUUCCGUA